AAGUAGAACGCUGAGAACUGGUGCUUGCACCGGUUCAAGGAGUUGCGAACGGGUGAGUAACGCGUAGGUAACCUACCUCAUAGCGGGGGAUAACUAUUGGAAACGAUAGCUAAUACCGCAUAAGAGAGACUAACGCAUGUUAGUAAUUUAAAAGGGGCAAUUGCUCCACUAUGAGAUGGACCUGCGUUGUAUUAGCUAGUUGGUGAGGUAAAGGCUCACCAAGGCGACGAUACAUAGCCGACCUGAGAGGGUGAUCGGCCACACUGGGACUGAGACACGGCCCAGACUCCUACGGGAGGCAGCAGUAGGGAAUCUUCGGCAAUGGGGGCAACCCUGACCGAGCAACGCCGCGUGAGUGAAGAAGGUUUUCGGAUCGUAAAGCUCUGUUGUUAGAGAAGAAUGAUGGUGGGAGUGGAAAAUCCACCAAGUGACGGUAACUAACCAGAAAGGGACGGCUAACUACGUGCCAGCAGCCGCGGUAAUACGUAGGUCCCGAGCGUUGUCCGGAUUUAUUGGGCGUAAAGCGAGCGCAGGCGGUUUUUUAAGUCUGAAGUUAAAGGCAUUGGCUCAACCAAUGUACGCUUUGGAAACUGGAGAACUUGAGUGCAGAAGGGGAGAGUGGAAUUCCAUGUGUAGCGGUGAAAUGCGUAGAUAUAUGGAGGUACACCGGUGGCGAAAGCGGCUCU
rnacentral:rRNA from 1 species